CUCUCCGCCCGCUCGACUUCUGGCUUGGUCGCCGCUCAUUUUCCCUCCGCAGUCCCGCUGCCGCGGCGGGCGGGAUGGGAAGCGGGCACGCCGCCUAAGCUUUCUCCCGCUCGGGGCUGCCUUCUCUUUCUCUCCUGAAGAGGACGAGCGCCCGCGCUACCCGACAAGGAGCUCAGCAUGCUCUCCUCCUCCUCCUCCUGCAGCCUCCGCGCCUCCUGCUCCUAGCCGAGUCGCAACCUCGCCUCGGCCCUGGCCCCACCGAGCUCCAUGGUGGUUGAGGGGCAGCGCUCUCCUGCGGUGCGGGGCGGCGGCGGCGGCGAAGGAACGAAGAGGAGGAGGAGAAGAAGAAGAAGAAGAAGAAGGGAAUGGCCGCCCAGGGUGACAGCUGCAGCGUCAAGGUGGCCGUGAGGAUUCGUCCUCAGAUGCCAAAGGAAAAGAUUGAAGGAUGCCACAUCUGCACAUCAGUGACACCUGGGGAACCCCAAGUACUCCUGGGAAAGGACAAAGCAUUUACCUAUGACUUUGUCUUUGACCUGGAUACUUGGCAGGAACAGAUCUAUACAACUUGUGUAGGCAAGCUGAUUGAGGGCUGCUUUGAAGGCUACAAUGCAACUGUGUUGGCAUAUGGCCAGACUGGUGCAGGCAAGACUUAUACCAUGGGUACUGGUUUUGACAUGAACACUUCUGAAGAGCAGCAGGGCAUAAUUCCACGGGCCAUUGCCCAUCUCUUCAAUGGCAUACACGCACAUAAGCAGGCUGCACAAGAUCAGGGGGUCCCCAUCCCAGAGUUCAAAGUCAGUGCACAGUUUUUGGAGCUAUAUAAUGAGGAGAUCCUGGAUCUUUUUGAUAGCACAAGAGACCCUGAGAAUCGCCACCGAAAAUCAAACAUCAAAAUCCAUGAAGAUGCCAGUGGUGGUAUCUAUACCACAGGUGUUACAUCACGUCUCAUUAGCUCACAGGAUGAGCUGAUCCAGUGCCUGAAACAGGGAGCUCUCUCCCGAACCACAGCCAGCACCCAGAUGAACGUCCAAAGUUCCCGCUCCCACGCUAUCUUUACAAUCUAUCUUUGCCAAAUGCGUGUCUGCUCUCCUGUACAUUUGGUGAAUGGAGACACAAAUAGUCUCCUGGAUGGAUCCCAGCCUACCAGUGAAUAUGAGACCCGAACAGCCAAAUUCCACUUUGUUGAUCUGGCUGGCUCAGAGAGGUUGAAACGAACUGGGGCCACAGGCGAGAGAGCUAAAGAAGGCAUCUCUAUCAAUUGUGGUUUGCUAGCAUUAGGAAACGUCAUCAGUGCCCUUGGGGAUCAGAGCAAGAAAGCAUUGCACGUGCCCUACCGAGAUUCAAAGUUGACCCGGCUUCUCCAAGAUUCACUUGGUGGAAAUAGUCAAACUGUGAUGAUUGCCUGUGUGAGUCCUUCAGAUCGGGAUUUUAUGGAGACCCUGAAUACCCUUAAAUAUGCCAAUCGUGCUCGCAACAUCAAGAACAAAGUGGUGGUGAAUCAGGACAAGACCAGUCAGCAGAUCAGUGCCCUGAGAGCUGAAAUUGCUCGUCUCCAGAUGGAACUUAUGGAAUAUAAGGCAGGUAAGCGUGUUAUUGGAGAAGAUGGCUCUGAAGGCUACAGUGACCUCUACCAGGAGAACGCCAUGUUGCAGAAGGAGAACACCACUUUACGAAUGCGGGUGAAAGCCAUGCAGGAGGCCAUUGAUGCAAUCAACAUCCGUGUCACCCAUUUGAUGAGCCAGGAAGCCAACCUGAUUCUUGCCAAGGCAGGUGAUGGUAAUGAGGCUAUUGGUGCUCUGAUUCAGAACUACAUCAGGGAAAUUGAAGAUCUCAGGACAAAACUCUUAGAGAGUGAAGCUAUGAAUGAAUCACUACGCCGCAAUCUGAACCGGGUUUCAACCAGGCUGCCCUAUUCCCUGGGUUUAUCACCAGGAAUUGGAUUGGGAGAUUCACGUUCCCCUGCCACCUCAGUGGAAGCUGAAGCCACUGACGUUCUACAGUGGGCCAAGCAAGAUGUUGAGAGGCUGAAGAAGGAGACAAAACUGCGAAGAAAAAGCCCAGAGAAAGAAGGGUUUAAAAAGCGGUUGAGGUUGCAGCAGGGAAACGAGGCAGAUGAGAAUGAUGAGAAUGAGGCAGAAGAGGAGGAAAGGGAUGAAAGUGGCUGUGAGGAAGAAGGCGGCCAGGAUGAAGAAGAUGAAGAAGAUUCAGGGAGUGAAGAAAGUCUGGUGGAUUCUGAUUCAGAUGUCGAAGAAAAGGCAGCAAAUUUCCAAGCUGAUCUGGCUGACUUGACCUGUGAGAUUGAGAUCAAACAGAAAUUAAUUGAUGAACUGGAGAACAGCCAACGGCGCCUACAAACCUUGAAGCACCAAUAUGAGGAAAAGUUAAUUUUGCUGCAGAACAAGAUCCGUGACACUCAGCUGGAGAGAGACAGGGUGCUGCAGAAUCUCAGUAGUAUGGAAUGUUAUACAGAAGAGAAGGCUAACAAAAUUAAAGCAGAUUAUGAGAAACGUUUAAGGGAGAUGAAUCGUGACCUGCAGAAGUUGCAGGCUGCCCAGAAGGAGCACGCUCGCCUUCUCAAGAACCAGUCUCGAUAUGAGAGAGAGCUGAAGAAGCUGCAGGCAGAAGUAGCAGAGAUGAAGAAAGCAAAGGUAGCACUGAUGAAACAAAUGCGUGAAGAGCAACAAAGACGGCGAAUGGUGGAGACCAAGAGGAACCGUGAGAUUGCCCAGUUGAAGAAAGAGCAACGUAGGCAAGAGUAUCAGAUCCGAACUCUGGAAUCUCAGAAGCGACAGCAGGAGAUCGUCUUGCGCAGGAAAACCCAAGAGGUCUCUGCUUUGCGUCGUCUAGCCAAACCUAUGACUGAUAGGGUUGCUGGGAGGAUUAACCAGAAACAAACCAUGGGAGAACCCGGUGCUGAAGUCUCCACCAGCACUACCACCUCCUUAGAGUCAGAAUCUGGUUCUCGUUCUGUCUCUAGCAUUGUACGCCAAUGGAAUAGAAAAACCAAUGCUUUGCUGGGAGAUUCUCCUUCCUCCUCAAAUGGAACUCGGACAAUCAGGAAAAGAUUCCCAAAGAAAGGUGCAAAUCAGACUUUUAGUAAGGCAGCCCGCCUGAAGUGGCAGUCACUGGAACGCCGUGUCUUUGAUAUUGUCAUGCAAAGAAUGACUGUCAUCAAUCUGGAAUCAGAUAUGGAGCGUCUUAUCAAGAAACGUGAGGAGUUGUCACUGAUGCAGGAAGGACUACUAGGAAAGAGGGGGAAACUACAGGCUGAGAACCCAGAAGAACAGAAGGGAUUGCAGGAAUUGAAUGAGGAGAUUGAAGUGUUGGCUGCCAAUCUUGACUACAUAAAUGACGGUAUUUCUGACUGCCAGGCCACCAUUAUGCAGAUUGAAGAGACCAAGGAAGAAUUGGAUUCUACAGAUACCUCUGUGGUGAUCAGCUCCUGCUCUUUGGCUGAAGCACGACUUUUAUUGGACAAUUUUCUCAAAGCAUCCAUAGACAAGAGCCUGCAGGUAGCCCAGAAGGAAGCUCAGAUCCGCUUACUGGAGGGACGUCUCAGACAAACAGAUGUGACUGGCUCCUCUCAGAACCAUCAUAUUCUGGAUGCCCUACGAGAAAAAGCAGAAUCCCACCCUGAAUUGCAGGCACUCAUUCAUAAUGUGCAGCAAGAAAAUGGCUAUGCCAGCACUGAUGAGGAAGUCUCAGAAUUCAGUUUGGCUUCAGAGGGAAGCUUUUCCCAGUCUUUCUUCAUGAAAGGUUCUGCUAGUCAGGAUGACUUCAAGUGCAGGGGAGAGCCUAAACUGUCUGGUCAGAUGAAAGCUGUAUCUGCAGAGUGCCUAGGGCCCACAUUGGACAUCUCCACUAAGAACAUCACUAAGUCAUUAGCAUCUCUCAUGGAAAUCAAAGAGGACAGUGUUGGAUUCUCUAUCCAUGAUCCUUAUUAUAAGGAGAAAGUCUCCCGUACCAUCAGCCUGCCUAUCCGAGGGAGCACAUUCCCUCGACAGUCCCGAGUCACAGACACUUCACCCCUUACAAGGAGGAAGUCAUAUGACAGGGGCCAGUCUAUCAGAAAUCCAGAUGUUGGAUUCACUCCUCCCUCAUCCCCUCCCAGCAGACCACGCAAUGACCGCAAUGUCUUCUCUCGGCUCACUAGCAACCAGAGCCAGGGCUCUGCAUUAGACAAGUCUGAUGACAGUGAUUCCUCUAUCUCGGAGGUGUUGAGGGGGAUCAUUAAUCCUGUGGGAGGUUCCAGGAGUGCCCGGACAGCACCACUGCAAUGCAUUUCUGUGGCUGAAGGACACACCAAGCCAGUAUUGUGCUUAGAUGCUACUGAUGAAUUGUUAUUUUCUGGAUCCAAAGAUCGGAGUUGCAAAAUGUGGAACUUAGUGACAGGACAGGAAAUUGCAUCUUUGAAAGGUCAUCCAAAUAACGUAGUCUCCAUAAAAUACUGCAGUGACUCUGGCUUGGUAUUCACAGUUUCUACCUCUUACAUCAAAGUAUGGGAUAUCCGUGAUUCUGCAAAGUGCAUCCGUACUCUCACCUCCUCAGGCCAGGUGAUCACUGGAGAUGCCUGUGCUGGGACCACUACCCGGACUAUCACCAGUGUGCAAGGCGAACACCAGAUCAAUCAGAUUGCACUUAAUCCCACAGGCACCAUGCUUUACGCAGCCACUGGCAAUUUUGUCCGCAUUUGGGAGUUGAACAGGUUUCAGCCUAUUGGAAAGCUGACAGGUCACAUUGGCCCUGUGAUGUGUCUCACAGUGAAUAGGACUGCAAGCAAUCAUGACUUAGUAGUCACAGGAUCUAAGGAUCACUACAUUAAGAUGUUUGAGAUUGCUGAAGGUAUCGGUGGGAACAUUGGACCUUCCCACAACUUUGAGCCUCCACAUUAUGAUGGGAUUGAGUGCCUAGCUAUUCAGGGAGACAUACUCUUCAGUGGUUCCCGUGACAAUGGGAUCAAGAAAUGGGACUUGGAUCAACAAGAACUCAUUCAGCAAAUCCCUGCACAUAAAGAUUGGGUUUGUGCUUUGGCCUUUGUGCCCAGCCGGCCGAUGCUGCUGAGUGCCUGCCGUGGUGGGACAGUGAAGGUCUGGAAUGUUGACAACUUCACACCUGUUGGGGACAUCAAGGGGCAUGAUAGUCCUAUCAAUGCCAUCUGCACAAAUUCAAAGCACAUUUUCACAGCUUCCAGUGACUGUCGGGUAAAGUUAUGGAAUUACGUGCCUGGGCUCACCCCCUGCCUUCCACGACGCGUCCUUGCCAUCAAGGGCCGUGCCACCAGUCUGCCUUGAUCUUCCUCCUUCUUCUCUACUCUCCUGCUUACUUUUUCUUGCUGUGUUCUCCCUCCCUGCCUCUCUUUGUCUUCCCUGUCCCUCUCUCUGGGAGCUGAUUUCAGCUGCUUCUUGACGUGACUGCACAGUGAAGCUCUGGAGUGCGAGGAAGCUACUGAACAGCACAAACUAGAAGUUGAGAAAAAACAGCUAUGAUCUUAAGAAGACUAAGAUGGAGCUUGGCUAGGAAGUAGCAUUUAAUCUCUCACACCCAGGGCUUCAGGAUGAGAUGGGUGCCUGGUUUUCUGACAAGUACAUGGGUUGGAGAGGGCAAAGGAAGUCUCCUUUUCCGUUUACAUGUUCAAGUCUCCUUCUCUGUCAGAUGUCUAUGGUGGCAGCCAUGGUAAAACAGAGCCAAAAAAGAAGACAAAAUUAGGUGCCGAGGUUCUUUCAGCCAGAAUCCAUCUGACAAGUCUACAAAAUAGGGUGUUUUGAAAAAAAGGAGUCAAAAUAUUUUAUAAAUCAGAAUUAGAUUUUUCAUCCUUGUAUAAUUAAACGAGGCUUUCCCAUGGUUUCCAGUUCUCCAGGAACUGCCUAUAUCCUGAUUAUGCCCAUAAGACGUUACAGUGAAAAUAAUUAGAGAGAAAAUCAAGGGUUACCAGUUGAUGGUUUUGUUUUAGGGCAGGGGUCUCCAACCUUGACAACUGUCCGCCAGGCUUAACAUUGCCAAGGUUGGAGACCCCUGUUUUAGGGGGUAUUCCUUGUUCUAGUUGGUCUUUCAAGAGGAUUUAUGAAGUACUGACUUUUAUUUCUUACGUUUAUCUGUGAAUUGCUAUUUGUUUUCUUUUUGAAAGGGGGAAGGAUUGGAGGAGAAUGCAAGAAAAUGAGCCACUUUAAUUUGAGCACAUAAUGUAGUGAUUCUCAGUGGUCAGUAUAGAUUCAGAAUUGGCCAGAGGUUUUCUAUUUCAUUUGCCAAAUACUCUUGAAGUUGAUUUUCCCAGAUUCCUGGAAUGACAGUAUUAAAAGAAAAAAGACAACUAACAAUUGUAUGAUACAGAGCGAUAUAUUUAGUAACUGAUUUGAUGAACUUUGAGAACUUCAGAAGGGUUGUUGUUUCCUGAAUACCAGUUAUAAAGCUGGAUGUUUUUUUUCUAAAUGUUAGAUAAGCAACAAGAAAGAGAGACCUAAACUGAUUAAAUACAUUUGGGAUUCUCCUUCAUGCCAUCAUUUGGCAAUUCCAGCAAAGAAGUAACCUGGACAUGCCACUUUCUCUUCCCAUUCUCAAAUUAUUAUAUUUCGGUAACAAAAUGGCAGCGACUGCAGAAAUCAACUGUCCCCUAUCACUGGAAAAAGGACAUUUUUCCUCCUCCUUUGUCUGGGAACAGAAAAAAUGUGGAACCUUCCCUUCCAGCUUUCAAACAGGGUAAGGAAGAUUUGAAAUGCUAAGCACAAGGGUGUUGCAAUGCAUUCCUGUAUUACUGGGGAGAUAAUGAGCCUGCCCCUCUUAAUCUCACCCCCAGCAUCUUUUUGGUUGUUGUUGUUUACAUCUUUUUCAAACAUUCACAUUUCCAUGUCACAAUAAGGAGCAAACUGAUAAAAGUUGAUGCUCUGUGUUUAGAAACUUGAAUUUUUCACAGGAUAUUGUUCACUGCACUUGAUUUUUAGCAGCAAACAUUGGCUUAAGCCCUCGAAGAUCCAUCACUGCGUAGAAGCUUUCAUCUGUGUGCAAUGUAGCAGGGCUGUCCAAGCCUCUCUGAAGGAUUGAUCAAGCACUCUUCACAUUGUUAUAGGAUUCAUCCUUAAAACUUUUAACUUGUGUUGUACUCUUCCAUCAGAGGACCGAGGAUUUAAACUGAUCACUCAGCAGCAGACUUGGGAAAGCCAUUCGCUAGUAGGGAAAUAUGGACCAGCAGGUUAAAGCAAUUUGCUUUCUGGAUGCUUUGGAUCUUUCUACAGCUCUGCUUUUAGUUUGUAGGAGUCUUUGCUCUACUGCCCCGGAUUAGGUUGGAAUUCUGUCCAUUCAUUUGUGUUAUGAAAAUCCCUUUCUCUACACUUAAGCUGCUGAUUCUUCCAUCCAAGUGGAAAGUUGCAUUGUAAUUCUAAAUAGGUGUUCAAAUGAUUCUGUGUUUUGUCUUGUGCAAUUGGGGGUAAGGGGAGGGGGGGGUAGCAAAGAGAGGUGUGUGACUGCGAUUUUAAGAGGGUGAGAGCUUGUUUUGAGUUAACCUACCUCAUGGUUCAAGGUGUUUUCUCAUUUUGUUGUGUUUUUUUUUUUUGUUGUUGUUAAUAGAACUUGAAUUGAUCUGGGAAACACACAGUUUCACUGGUCCCAAUUUCUAAGCUCAAGAGGAGAGUAUGAUGAAAGGAAGCUGGCCUCUGUGUAAUCUCAGAGGGAGCUUUUACAUAUUAAGGCUGCACUGUGUUUACUGCAUCUUGGUGUCUUUUGCAGCCUUAUUUUAACUCAGCACUCUAAACUGAGUGGGGAGGUGGGUCAUACGAUUCCAAGAUUGGAAGAAGAUAAUCUUCCAGAAAAUCAGCACAAUCUUUAUUUCUGCACAUGGAACCCAAAUUGUUUUUUUUAUUGUUUUUUGGUUUUUUUUUGCUAUUUACUGAAGUUUGUGAUCCCCUUUGAAUGUUUUUGCCUGCAGAAAUCUUUGAAUAGAUUGUGAAUUAGCUCAGCAUUCUCCAUUGACUUAUGUUAUUUGUUUAGAACGAAGAAUAUGAAGCAUACAAAAGUUAAUAUUCAGUAUUUGUGUAAAUCUAUCUGCCAGGGGAUACUUUUUAUAGGUUAAAUAAAGGAUUGUGUGAUUUGUGGUCCUCCAGAAGUUCAGCUUCCAUCUUUCCUCACUUGGCCAGUUCAGAUUCAAGAAAAGUUAGUGGAAGCCACACAUUCCUUCUUAAAUUACUGCCCAUAUUUGCCAUAGAGUUCUGGGUGGCUCUUUCUUUCUUAUCCUUUGGCACCGGGUUAUUCUCCAUUUUUUGGGGAGGGGAGGGUGAACCUUGCCUCUUUUAAUACUUCUGAUCCCAUGGAUGUAGUAGAAGGGGAAUUAAGCUGAUUUAUUGGGUUUAAUAAGUAUAAUUUACCCUACUGUUGAUUGUACUUGAAGCACAUAAUUGAGAGGAUACAAAAUAAGCAACAAUGGACAUUUCAUCUCUCUCAUAAUUUUCAAAAACUGAACAACAGGUUACCGUAAUAAGACUAAUGAGACUAAUAAUGGUUUUGCAGCUCUGCAAGGAUGUUUUAGAACAUGUUAUCAUGCUGUCCCUAAGGCUAAACUCUCAGUUUAAGAAGCCUACUGAUUGUGUACUAAUGUACACCAGCCACCUCAGUCUAGGGUUGGGACGAUUGUUUUAGUUGCAGUCCCAGCAUUACCUGGAUGUGACCAGGUUGAAAUUUUGUUUCAAACAACAGGUGCCUUUCCUUAUCCUGAAAGGUCGGGUUUUUUACCCAUAGAAAACACUGGUGCUUGUCUGGGGCUUCUGUGAGGGCUGUGUCAUCUGGCAAAAUGGUAUUAAGUGUGAAUGUGUGUGUGUCUGUGUGUGCGUGUGUGCAUGUAAGGAUACAAUGUAUGUAAUAUUUUAUACCUCUGUGUAAAUAAUGUAAGUUAUUUAAAGUUUCUGAUGUACAUGGUUUUCCAAUGAAUGUUUUUGUUCCUCCUGGUAAUAAAUUUAUUCAACUGAAA